rnacentral:rRNA from 1 species
AGUGAACGCUGGCGGUAGGCCUAACACAUGCAAGUCGAACGGCAGCACAGUAAGAGCUUGCUCUUACGGGUGGCGAGUGGCGGACGGGUGAGGAAUACAUCGGAAUCUACUUUUUCGUGGGGGAUAACGUAGGGAAACUUACGCUAAUACCGCAUACGACCUACGGGUGAAAGCAGGGGAUCUUCGGACCUUGCGCGAUUGAAUGAGCCGAUGUCGGAUUAGCUAGUUGGCGGGGUAAAGGCCCACCAAGGCGACGAUCCGUAGCUGGUCUGAGAGGAUGAUCAGCCACACUGUAACUGAGACACGGUCCAGGCUCCUACGGUAUGCAGCAGUGGGGAAUAUUGGACAAUGGGCGCAUGCCUGAUCCCUCCAUACCGCGUGGGUGAAGAAGGCCUUCGGGUUGUAGAGCCCUUUUGUUGGGAAAGAAAAGCAGCAGGUUAAUACCCCGCUGUUCUGACGGUACCCAAAGAAUAAGCACCGGCUAACUUCGUG